ACCACUUCAAGACAAGACAAGAACAUUGCUUGCAGACAACUUUAUUUGUAGGGUCACAACACACUCGUCACCAUCUACAUCAGUCGUGCCCACCUUAUCAACACAUCACAUGAAAACAGUACGUUACACGGACUAUAAACCAAACCUUUCAAAUCACUUUAACCAGUGCUCCACUCAAUCUUCUGCUUUCACCAAAACAACAAUCUCUCAAGAGAAUCAAACUACAAGAUGGGCAGUUUCUACGAGCAUUACGAGUUCCCAUACGAUACAAACCAGGUUAAUCAUCUCUAUGAUCAUAACUAUUAUGAUAACAAUCAACAACACCAGUUUGGUUUCAAUCCAAUGAGUUACAAUAGUUAUGAUAACUGGAAUGGAUCUGAGUAUGAGUAUGAAACAACAACCUCUGCAUCUGUUGUUUACUCUGUCUCCACCAUGUCUGAGCCGAAACAUUUGUUCUAUGAUCCGAGUUACUACACAACAACAACCUACGAGUCUCCACCUCAGUUUAGUAUCUAUUGCAAUGUUCAAGGCUUCAACGAGCCGGAUUUCGAGGAGUACGACCCGACGCCGUACGGUGGCGGCUAUGAUAUCGUUGCAACAUACGGGAAACCUCUUCCUCCAUCGGAGAAAACUUGUUACCCUUCUUCAUCCGCUGGUCAAGCUUCACCUCCUUCUCCUCCGGAGAUCAUCGCUCCGGUUCCUCUUGGAAUAUAUGAUGGUGGUGAAAAGAAAGCUGUUAAGAAACGUGUGACUUUCUCUGAGCCGUUAGAGGAAGCCAAACCAUUAGAAACCAUUAAAGAAGAAGAAAAUGAUCAUCAAGAAGAGGCAGAGGAAGAAGAAGAUCACAGUUUAAGCAAUGGGACCGUGCAACCUGAAACAGUAGAUAAAGUUGAAGUGAAAGCUCUGUAUGUUCCGUCUGGUUACGGCUUAGAAGCCACUGAUCUCUGCGAGGUUAUAUUCGGAGGCUACUUUCCUUGUUUCUUACGUAACAAAAGACGCCUAGAGGAUGAGAACCGUGCGGCUGAAGUUACCUGCUGGGAUAGCGCGGAUUCUGAUCCGUGGAAGACGACUUCAGACUACCUUUUCGGGGAUUCGUAUCCGUAUGGUUAUGAGGAUGGAGUUGGAAGAAGACAGUUCGAGAUCUCCUCUUAUGGUUAUUACCAGAGGUAUUAACCGGAGUUAUCAUGUGUCAAAGUGAGGCCCAUCUGACAUUCAGCGAGGCCCAAAUUCACUCCAAAAAGCCCAAGUGAGUGGGUCGCCGGAGCUCGUCGCCGGAGCAACCGUGUGCCGUGAUCACGUUCAGCUCGUCACCCCCGAUCAACACCCUAGACCACCAUCGUGUUCCUCUCGUCGAGACGAAGCCGUAGACACCAACCACACCGCAAUCGGAUCCCGGACGAAGCCGCUAGAGCCUCCCGAAGUUUCGCCUCUGCGCAGGCGUGAAACGCACGCGCCGUCGCCGUCCGCCGGAGCCACCGCGCAUUCCGGCCACUCGCCGCCGUCUCCGACCGCCGUUCGCCGGAGCCGCCGUGAUCGACCGCCGUCCGUCCGCCGCCGUGAAGCUGCCGCCGCGUCGCCGCCUCGCCGCCGUCGCCGCCGCUGAUUUUCCGGUAAGCCGCCGCCACCCUUCGCCGUUGCCGCCGGGACUAGUGCCGGUGAUUCGCCGGCGACUCGCCAACUCGGCCGAGUCGACCCGAUUUAGAGUCUAUUUGAGCAGCUGGAGUUCAUAGAUACCACAUUUCCCUAUUGCUAAGGUGAGGGGCUAUUCCCGAACUCCUCUUACACGGCUUAGGACUUCGAAUAAGUAUAACUUAUUUCUAAUAUAUUCCGUCUGCUUGAAAUCGAGUCUGUCAUUGCUUGUUUAGUUAUUAGGUUCUCUGCUUAAACCGGAACUAAGUUGUUAGAGGAUUCAACAUUGAUUGCUUCACUUAAUGUAAAUUCUUAGCUAGGAUUGUUUUAGUGUGGAGACGGAUACAGAGACGGACUUCUGUAUGCCGGAUUGUAUGAGGUUAUGGCCAACUAUAGUCGACCGGUUGAGUUGUAGCCUGGAAGUGUCGAUAAAUCGUCCACGGGCGGUGUCCGAGCACUAUCUCGAGUUGUGUUAUGUUUUUGGCCUGUUAGUGGGCGGCGAGAGCGCGCCUCGCUAGGAUCAUUGUUUGUUGCUUGGGUACUUUAGGUGCCGUGUUUGACAUGUAUUAGAAUUAAAUUAUAUUUAUUCGGAGUGUUAUGUCCGGGUCCAUGGACUUCGGGGUAGCAUCCCCCAUACCUCAUUGGGCGAUUCACCUAUCGCUCACCCCUCACUCUUCCCCCUUUCAGGUGAGACCGACGAGCAGGAGUGAUUAUCGGACCUGUGCUAUUGGGCUUUUGGGCUUCUAUCGCUUUUACCGCUUUUAUCUUUAUCGGGCCUUUGGACUUUUAUCGUUUAUGUUAUUUCCUAUUUCAGACUUUCGGUUUAUGUUGUAUUUUAUAUUUCGGAUGUUAUCGAUGUUGGGCUUUUAGGCCUUAUGGUAUCGUAUUGACUUUUAUAUUAUGAUAUGAAGAUUAUUAUUAUUUCAGUA